UACGAAGGGUGCAAGCGUUAAUCGGAAUUACUGGGCGUAAAGAGUGCGUAGGCGGUUUGUUAAGUCUGAUGUGAAAUCCCCGGGCUCAACCUGGGAAUGGCAAUGGAUACUGGCAAGCUAGAGUGUGUCAGAGGAUGGUGGAAUUUCCGGUGUAGCGGUGAAAUGCGUAGAGAUCGGGAGGAACAUCAGUGGCGAAGGCGGCCAUCUGGGACAACUCUGAC
rnacentral:rRNA from 1 species